rnacentral:sRNA from 1 species
GCUGGGUGUGGUUGUACACAUCUGUAAUCCCAGUGACCUGGGAGGCUGAGGCAGGAGGAUUGUGAAUUCAAAGCCAGCCUUAGCAACUAAAUGAGACCCUGUCUCAA